rnacentral:rRNA from 1 species
GACGAACGCUGGCGGCGGGCCUAAUACAUGCAAGUCGGACGCAGAUGCGACCGGGAGAGUAAAGAGUAGGUAACUACCUAUUAGAGGGGGAUAACUAUUGUAAACGAUAGCUAAUACCGCAUACUAGUAGAUGGACCUUGGUUGUAUUAGCUAGGAGGUAGGGUAAUGGCAUACCUAGGCAACGAUACAUAGCCGACCUGAGAGGAUGGUCGGCCAAACUGGGACUGGGACACGGCCCCGACGCCUACGGGAGGCAGCAGUAGGGAAUCUUCGGAAAUGGGGGGAACCCUGACCGAGCAACGCCGCGUGAGUUAAGGAGGUUUUCGGAUCGUAAAGCUCUUUUGUUAAGGAAGCGGUACUUACACAGAAAGGGACGGCUAACUACGUGCCAGCAGCCGCGGUAAUAC